rnacentral:lncRNA from 1 species
GAAAUUACUUUCCUCUCUUUUCCUUCUUCUGGUUGGCAGCUGAAUUCAUAUAAAUCCAGACCAAGAAGAAAGGAAUAGGUAUACACACAUACAAUAUAUAUAUAUAUAUACAUUACAGCAAAUACACAUUAUAGUCACACAAACACGCGCAUACAUGAAUAUAUAUGUAUUUAUUAGUCGCGUGUGUCGAAGUCUACACACUCGCCGAUGUGUUUAUACUUACCUAUUGGUAUGUCCAUAAAGUAAUAUAUACACUGUUGGCUCUUAUGUAUAGUAAUGCUUGUCAAUUAGUGUAUG